UAAUACGGGGGGAGCAAGCGUUAAUCGGAAUUACUGGGCGUAAAGGGUGCGCAGGCGGCCCCGCGUGUCAGGCGUGAAAUCCCCGGGCUCAACUUGGGAAUGGCGUCUGAAACUACGGGGCUGGAGUGUGGCAGAGGGAGGUGGAAUUCCACGUGUAGCGGUGAAAUGCGUAGAGAUGUGGAGGAACACCGAUGGCGAAGGCAGCCUCCUGGGCCAACACUGACGCUCAUGCACGAAAGCGUGGGGAGCGAACA
rnacentral:rRNA from 1 species